rnacentral:rRNA from 1 species
UACGAAGGGGGCUAGCGUUGCUCGGAAUCACUGGGCGUAAAGCGCACGUAGGCGGAUUGUUAAGUCAGGGGUGAAAUCCUGGAGCUCAACUCCAGAACUGCCUUUGAUACUGACGAGCUCGAGGGAGAUAGGGGUGUGUGGAACUUCCGGUGGAGCGGUGAAAUGCGCAGAUAUCAGGAGGAACACCGGUGGCGAAGGCGGAUCUCUGGGCCUUACCUGACGCUCAGGCGCGAAAGCUAGGGGAGCGAACAGG